rnacentral:rRNA from 1 species
CCAAUAGCGUAUAUUAAAGUUGUUGCAGUUAAAAAGCUCGUAGUUGAAUUUCGGGAUUGACGUGAUGGUCAUGCCUUAAGGGGUAUGAACUGUUGCAGUUGAUUUCUCACCUUCUGGAGAAACUUGAUGUCCUUUAUUGGGUGUCUUGCGGAUCCAGGACCUUUACCUUGAAAAAAUUAGAGUGUUUAAAGCAGGCAUUUUUGCUCGAAUACAUUAGCAU